AUGGGACGGUGGCAACAGAAGCUAUGGCGGCAACAAACAUCCAUGUCAGAAUCUAUUGCUGCUGCAACUAGUCUCCCCCAGCUGCCUGCUAGAUCGUCUCCUUUGACACAGAGUAAAUCAUUUGCUAUGGCUAGUCGGGCGGGGCUGACUAAAUAUGCUCAGGGUAAUGUGUUGCAAAAUAAUGAUAGGGCACACGCUGUUGCUACCAUGAGAGCUGAGGAUAGGAAUGUUGGUUCAGUUAAUGGGGCUCGCCAGUUGCAACAUCCACCCUUUUGCGCUCCUUUCUGGUGGUCAGAUUGUUGA
rnacentral:rRNA from 1 species